AAAAAAGGCUUUCAGUAGCGUCCUUAGAAUCUAAGCCUUUUGAAGCGCCAGUAGUUGUAGCUGUGGGUAGGGCUUUCGUUCUUAUCGCUCCGGGUUUCGAUCUAUAUGACCUCCGGGCAGUACAAAGUACACCUCUUCCGUAGAGGCAGGUAGUAACCUAACCUUUAAGAGUCUGUUCAAGGGAGGAGCCCUCUUAUCUAUCAAUGGAAAGAUCUCCGUGCGUGGCGUGAUAAGGAAUCCUAGAAAAGAUCGACUGAGACUCCCUCCCCGGUCCCACGAAGAUCUCUACAUACUUGUCUGUUCAGCCCAGGACAACUGAGAUCUUCUGGUCUGCGUGCGUGGGAGCAGCUCAAACAAAGAAGAGUCUGGUCUGGUCUGAAUUCAGGCCCGGCCCGCCCGUCUGCAGCUAGGUUCGGGAAUGGCGCCAGGCGAGGACGCCGCUAUACCCCUUAAUGAAUCGAAUGGUCCUUCGACCUUCAUUUGAUUCCGACGGCCGGCAUAGAUCUCAUGAGACCCGCCCACUAUUACUACGAAAAAAGCCCUGCCCUUUUCCUUCGCUACUAGGGAGAGUAAGCAACCUCUAUUAGCGCCGGACCGAAUUGAUCGUGUCAUGUGCAACGUCCAUCAAUGAUGGUUCAUUAAUGUCCAUUGAUUUAGACUCCUUCCCCCUUCCCAACUACGAAUAAGAUCGAGAGGAGCCCGAAAGAAAGCCCCCAAACCAAGAACGGAAACGGAAGCCUUUCUAUUCACUCCCCAUUCUCUCUUAAAUAAAGCUCGCCCUCGAGCCCUGGGCAGGUCGGCCGGGUCUUUCCUUUCCCUGUUGUUCUGUUUCCGCCACGAGAAAGACGCACGGAAGAGGUAUGCCCAGUGCGCGGAGGAUCCGUUGAGAGUUUCUGUUGUCUCGGUAGGGAACUGUACGAUCUUUUCCCCUAUUGUAUUGAAUCAAUAAAAAAAGAGGUCAGUGCUACGGCUCCCUAUUGUUUGAUCCAAU
rnacentral:misc_RNA from 1 species